UCAAGUAGAGAAGGGCGCACGGUGAAUGCCUAGGCACUGGAAGCCGAUGAAGGACGUGACAAACGACGAAAUGCUUCGGGGAGCGGUAAGUACGCAGAGAUCCGGAGAUAUCCGAAUGGGGGAACCCGGCACCGCGAGGUGUCACCUUGAAUGUGAAUAGAUAGCAUUAAGGAGGAAGACGCAGUGAACUGAAACAUCUAAGUAGCUGCAGGAAGAGAAAGAAAGAUCGAUUUCCCAAGUAGCGGCGAGCGAACAGGAAAGAGCCCAAACCUAAUGGCUUGCCAUUAGGGGUAGAAGGACUGUAAAAAGCCGAAUGGAAGGAUAGCAGAAUUAUCUGGGAAGAUAAGCCGAAGAGGGUGAGAGCCCCGUAAGCGAAAUCCGGAAAGUAGGUGAGCAGGAUCCUGAGUAGGUCGGGACACGAGGAAUCCCGAUUGAAUCCGCGAGGACCAUCUCGCAAGGCUAAAUACUAACCAGUGACCGAUAGUGAACCAGUACCGUGAGGGAAAGGUGAAAAGAACCCCGGGAGGGGAGUGAAAGAGAACCUGAAACCGUGUGCCUACAAGUAGUCAGAGCACGUUAAAGUGUGAUGGCGUGCCUUUUGUAGAAUGAACCGGCGAGUUGCGUUGUGGUGCAAGGUUAAGUCAGAAAAGACGGAGCCGAAGCGAAAGCGAGUCUGAAGAGGGCGAGAUAGUAUCAUGACGCAGACCCGAAACCAAGUGACCUACCCAUGACCAGGUUGAAGGCGUGGUAAAACACGCUGGAGGACCGAACCCACGCAAGUUGAAAAUUGCGGGGAUGAGUUGUGGGUAGCGGUGAAAUUCCAAACGAACUUGGAGAUAGCUGGUUCUCUCCGAAAUAGCUUUAGGGCUAGCCUCGUGUGAAUGAUAAUGGAGGUAGAGCACUGUUUGGACUAGGGGCCCGUCAGGGGUUACUGAAUCCAGAUAAACUCCGAAUGCCAGAUAUCAAUGCACGGGAGUCAGACUGCGAGUGAUAAGAUCCGUAGUCGAAAGGGAAACAGCCCAGAUCACCGGUUAAGGUCCCAAAAUCUAUGCUAAGUGGAAAAGGAUGUGGAGUUGCACAGACAACUAGGAUGUUGGCUCAGAAGCAGCCACCAUUUAAAGAGUGCGUAAUAGCUCACUAGUCGAGUGACGCUGCGCCGAAAAUUUACCGGGGCUAAGCAUAGUACCGAAACCGUGGAUGCAGGUAACUGCGUGGUAGGAGAGCGUUCUAAAGGCGGAGAAGGCAGAUCGAGAGGACUGUUGGAGCGUUUAGAAGUGAGAAUGCCGGUAUAAGUAGCGAAAGACAGGUGAGAAUCCUGUCCGCCGAAAGACUAAGGUUUCCUGGGGCAGGCUCGUCCGCCCAGGGUAAGUCGGGACCUAAGGUAAGGCCGAGAGGCGUAGCCGAUGGACAACAGGUAGAUAUUCCUGUACUAUUCGUAAUCGAUAAGAGCGAAGGAGGGACGCAGGAGGCUAAUGACGCAUGGAGAUGGAAUCAUGUGUAAGCGUUAAGGAAGGAUGCGAGUCAAAUGCUUGUAUCCAAUUUUGAGACGUGAUGCGGAGUGAAAUAAAAGUAGCGAAGGUCAUGAAGUCACACUGCCAAGAAAAGCUUCUAGCCAGAGAGCGAGUACCCGUACCGCAAACCGACACAGGUAGUCGAGGAGAGAAUCCUCAGGUGAGCGAGAGAACUCUCGUUAAGGAACUCGGCAAAAUGACCCCGUAACUUCGGGAGAAGGGGUGCUGAUCUCCGGAUCAGCCGCAGUGAAUAGGCCCAAACAACUGUUUAUCAAAAACACAGGUAUCUGCAAAAUCGUAAGAUGACGUAUAGGUGCUGACACCUGCCCGGUGCUGGAAGGUUAAGAGGAGAGCUUAGCGCAAGCGAAGGUUUGAAUUGAAGCCCCAGUAAACGGCGGCCGUAACUAUAACGGUCCUAAGGUAGCGAAAUUCCUUGUCGGGUAAGUUCCGACC
rnacentral:rRNA from 1 species